rnacentral:rRNA from 1 species
UACGUAGGGUGCAAGCGUUAUCCGGAUUCACUGGGUUUAAAGGGUGCGUAGGUGGGCAGUUAAGUCAGUGGUGAAAUCUCUGGGCUUAACUCAGAAACUGCCAUUGAUACUAUCUGUCUUGAAUACCGUGGAGGUCAGCGGAAUAUGUCAUGUAGCGGUGAAAUGCUUAGAUAUGACAUAGAACACCAAUUGCGGAGGCAGCUGGCUACACGAAUAUUGACACUGAUGCACGAAAGCGUGGGGAUCAAACAGG